rfam:Otolemur garnettii contig135237, whole genome shotgun sequence.
GCUGGAUGUGGUGUCUUGCACCUGUAGUCCUAGCUAUGUGGGAGGCUGAGACAGGAGGAUUGCUUGAGUACAGGAGUUCUGGGCUUAGUGCACUAUACUGAUUGGGUUUCUGCACUAAAUUCAUCAUCAAUAUGGUGACCUCCCAGGAGUAGGGGGCCACUAGGUUGCCUAAGAAGGAGUGAAUCGGCCCAGGUUGGAAACCGAGCAGGUCAAACCUCCCAUGCUGAUCAGUAGUGGGAUCGCGCCUGUGAAUAGCCACUACUAUCCAGCCUGGGCAACAUAGUGAGACCCUGUCUCAA